ACAGAGACUGAAAAUAAGAAAGGGGUGAGGCCUAAGGGACAAUCAGGAUGUUUUUCAGAGAGAAGUGUGGAUGCUGGACAGGAAGAACCACAGAUACCAGAUACGGGACAUACUUUAUUCAGCUGGGUGCUGAAAAAGAAUCUUGGAAAUUAGGAAACUGAAUGAGGCCUCAUUUCACACUCAGAAUGUGGGUUGCAAUAGUCACUUCCUCUGCUGCUGGGAAAGAAAGAAUUAUACUACCUUUUGAAUUUUGGAUUAAGGAGAGAGGUGUUGGCUUGUCAAACUACCAUGUAUUCCUCAAGACAUAUUUUUGUGGCUUUAUAAAAUUCAAUAUAUAUGUCUAAAUUCAAAAAUAUUUUGUUGCAAUCUGGCCCUUGGACAAACUGAGGCCCUAGCAACUGAUGUUUAUGGCUUUCCGUAGAACCUUUCAGAUAAAAUUUACACAGCAUUUUACUGCAGCUAUUUCACACAAAGCAGAGGAUUUUGCCACAAAACUGAAAGAAAAAAGAAACUGCAUUCUUAAAUUUUUCAUAAAUCAAAAGGUAUAAAAAUAUCUACCUAAACGAUAAAGGAGAUGAGAAACCCCACCCAUGAUGGGAAGAAAGCCUAUUUCAGUUUUGCCUUUACUUCAAGUUCUUUUUUCCAUAUCUGGAAUGCAAUCAGAAUUUUAAUCUUGCCUUGGGUUCCUCCUGGAUUUGGGGAGAAGACAAAACCUGAAAAUCUCUAAUCUGCAUGUGUUCAGCUGCGUAUCUUCUGGAUACGGAAGGAUCACACUGCACAGAGUGCUGGACUUGCAGGAGCCCCGCUUCUCAACCUCCAUCGCUUUAUGAAUGAAUUCACCAGAAAGGAAGAAUCAACACUUUCAGAGAUGGAGCCUGUUGAGCCACAGUACCAACUAGUCAAUGCUGAAUCGACUUCUCCCUUUCUACAUUGCCUGAGAGAAGUCAUUGGGGAAUACUCUAGAGUCAAGGGAUUGGAUUGUGGAUUGCAUUGGUGGUUUUCCUCAGUUUCCUCAUCUUCUCCACAAGUUUCUACAUAUCGAAUGCAGAGCAGCCCUUCUUCAAAGGACCUCCUACGGAAGCUGCUAAGGAACUCAGUCUGUAGCUCUGCGUGGAGCCAUGUGUAAACACUGAACUGAGACCUGCCACCUCCUACUACCUAAGGGCCCAUUUUCAUCUGAUAUCAUCCCCCAGAAACAAACUCAUGAUGACUUCCAUGUUUUUUUUAGAUUAGAUACAUGGAGAAUUUUCCUUUCCCUUAGAAUUAAAAUCCUGCAUUCUAA
rnacentral:lncRNA from 1 species